CUUUAAAGCAGAGCAUUUUCUCUGUGGCUGGUAGAAGAGGAAGUAAGAGAUUGAAUGGGUGAGAGGGAUUCAAUGGGAAUAGAGAACAGAGGUUCUCAUUGCUGAGAUGGCAGGGGUCAUAGGGCAAAGACCAGAGAAGCCACUAGGAGCUAAGAACAGGCCCGACCAGCAGUCAGAAAGGAAACAGGGAUCUCAGGCCUGCGGCUGCAAGGAACUGAACACUGCCAACCACCUGAUCCUCUGCAGGACCGAGGCUGUGUGGACGGAGGCUGUGUGGAUGGAGAUCCCACCAUCACCGAGUUCGGGCAAGUCCCAUGAGGGUCUCAGCUCCUCAUCCGUAACAUCAGGAUGAUAAAGCCUCCCUCGCAGGAUGGCCGUGCGAGUGCCCAGAUCCCAGGAGAGGGCUGGUAAAUGGGCGUUGCCUGCCCCAUCCCUUUCUACCUGCACGGAAAAGGAGAGAUGGCCCAGCCUCAGGUCAUCAGGACCCUUGAGCCAACCCUGCAUCUCAGCCCUGACUCCCACCCAGAAUGCCGGCCUUCCUCACCAAGGGUCUGGCUGACACCUCUGCGAUGCUCAUCACUAGUCACUUGGGAUUCCCUGGUGAUAUGGUUUGGCUGUGUCCCCACCCAACUCUCAUCUUGAAUUGUAGUUCCCAUAAUCCCCACAUGUCAUGGGAGGGACGGGGUGGAGAUAAUUCAAUCAUGGAGCGGUUUCCUCUGUCCUGUUCUCAUGAUAGUGAGCUAGUUCUCACGAGAUCUGAUUGUUUUAUAAAGGGCUUCUUUCUUCGCUGGGCACUCAUUCUCUCUCCUGCCAUCAUGUGAAGAGGGUCUUUGCUUCCCCUUUACUUUCCAUCAUGAUUGUAAGUUUCCUGAGGUCUCCCCAGCCAUGCGGAACUGUGAGUCAAUUAAACCUCUUUCCUUUAUAAAUUACCCAGUCUUGGGUAUUCCUUCAUAGAAGCAUGAGAAUAGACUAGUACACCUGGGGAGCAAGGCCUAGGGUGAAAAGUGAAGCUCAGAGCAGUUACCCUCC
rnacentral:lncRNA from 1 species